UGUUCCAUUCACUUACUUCACAAGGCAGGUCUGAAUUACUAAAGCAAGAGCCCUCAUCACCCUCUGUGAGCAGAGCGCAUAGCUUCCUUCCAUUCAGCUUGGAGCUCUGGGAUGCAGGACCAUGAAUGGAGAGUAAACCUGCUGCAGGACCAUGAAUGGAGAGAUUUGGGUGUAGUCUCCCCUCCCCCAGCCUGAAACCUGCUUGCUCAGGGGUGGAGCUUCCCACUCAAUCUUUUUGCCACGCCUACUGCUGGAACCUGCCGCUUUGCUGUUCCGAAGCCAUCACGUGAUCAC